GUAGACUAAAUUGGUCGUUGGUUGCACUUCUUUACAUAGCUUUGAAUGCCUUCACAAUGUUCAUGUUCCUGUUUCGUCCAUUUUACUGGGAAAAUGAAACUGGAAAGCAGAGGUUCAUUUGGUAGAUUAAAUCAUUCAAAAUGCAAGAAGGAUUCUGUCGUGGAAAUACAGUCUUAACAUGUUUACUAGUAGAAAUCAGUUGGUUCAGAUUCAGAAUUAUCGAGCUUUUUCGACCUUCAAUGCCGAUCGCUGGGUUUCGAUCUCUUCUAUGGUGGAGUAAAUGGUCCAAGAAAGACUGGGCCAUUGCAGUAAUCUGUUUCGCUUUCAUUUUUUUCGUGUUCUCCUUCUUCUCCGAUUCUUGGUAUGCUGAACACAGUGGCAUCGACCACACUUUCGAUCUCAAUCCCGCCAACGACCCCGAUAUGGUUGACCUCACUUUGCUGCAAAAUGCCAAAGCAAAAGGCGCUCUAUGUCUUGAUGGGAGUUUGCCCGGUUACCAUUUUCAGAAAGGCUUCGGGUCUGGUUCUGGCAACUGGGUUCUUCACAUUGAGGGUGGAGGGUGGUGUGAUACAAUCUCGUCCUGUUCUUGGCGUAAAAUGACCCCGUUAGGUUCAUCAGAUUACAUGGAGCGUCGUGUUCAUUUCUCUGGAAUUUUAAGUAGUGAUGCAUCACAAAAUCCCGAUUUCUAUAAUUGGAACAAAAUCAAGAUACGUUACUGUGAUGGAGCAUCGUUUGCAGGCCAUCCUGUGGGUGAAACAAAGAAUGGAAGUAUACUUCAUUUCAGAGGCCAGCUCAUCUGGGAAGCUCUUAUGGAUGAACUCUUAUCUGUUGGCUUGUCCAAGGCAAGACAGGCUCUUCUUUCAGGGUGCUCUGCUGGGGGCUUGGCUACCCUUAUUCAUUGUGAUGACUUCAGAGAGCUUUUACCGAAGGAUGCAACUGUCAAGUGUCUAGCCGAUGCUGGAUUUUUCCUUGAUGAGAAAGAUGUUUCGGGAAAUCAUACAAUGAGAUCUUUCUAUCACCAUGUUUUCAACCUUCAGAGGACUGGUAAAAGUUUACCCAAGGAUUGUACAGCUACAGACGAGCCAUCUAAGUGUCUCUUUCCUCAAGAAAUUAUCAAACAUAUAAGCACCCCGUUGUUUAUUGUCAACCCAGCUUAUGAUUUUUGGCAGAUACAAAAUGUCUUGGUGCCAAACACAUUAGCUCGUACUGGCUCUUGGCAGAAAUGUAGGCUUAAUAUUCAUAAAUGUGAUCAUGCUGAGCUUGGAAUUCUUCAAGGGUUCCGGAACUCUUUGCUGAAGGCACUGGAUGACUUCAAGCACAACAAGGAAGGAGGACUUUUUGUAAAUUCUUGCUUCGUCCAUUGCCAAACAUGGAUGUCUGAGACAUGGCACUCCCCCAAUUCUCCAAGGAUAAAUAAGAGGACUAUAGCAGAGGCCGUGGGUGAUUGGUACUUCAAACGGAAUUCAGUGAAGCUAAUUGACUGCCCUUUUCCAUGCAAUCCUACCUGCAUUCAUAUGGAUUUUAGCCGAGGUUAGCAUAUUGGAAUUAGUAACUGCUUCAGCGUUCUCUGUUGCCAUUCAUCUGCGAUGUCUUAAGGUUCUAGCGGAUAGACAUCUUUGUCCUUGUCCAAAAGCUGGUCUCCAGAAACAGAAACAGAGUCGCUUAUUUCCUUUUGGUGGAAUUCAAAUUGGAAACCCACCUACAUGAUCAAUAUCCAUCGGUGGUAAAAGUCAAAAGAGAGGUGCUGGUCCUCCUUUCCAUGUAUUUAUGAUAGUAACAGACACCAUCAUAGACAAGUUUCAUACAAGAUCUGAUGUUCUCCUCCCAUUCUGUCCCUGUUGAAGGGGGACGAGUCUUGUUGACAAAUUGAGCUGGCGUCAACUUUCCUCUAAAUAUUGACUGGAAUUUUCGGAUCACAAACCUAUUUGAACUGGAUCAUCUCCAGUAAAAACUGGAAAUUAUGAUAGCUUUUUAGUGACGAUCUAGUUUUCCUUAGUUCUCUCGUAGUUCAGAAGAUAUUGCUCUUCAAACUUUUUCAUUCCCCCUCACUAUGUAGGCUCAUAUCACUUCCAACGUCAUAGAAAAUAAUCAUGUAUUCCCUUUUGAAUUUAACAGUAGAACUUCAAGGCCUUGAAUAGAACUGACUAAGAAGUUUCGAACUUCUCAGGAGCCUUCUCCAAUAUUGGAUGGAAUGUGUGGUGGGGUGGGGAAAAAGUGAAUGGAUGUUUUAAGUUUAUAUCCCAUUUUUAAUCAGCCAAUCCAGCUCCAACAUUAUGUUCUG